AACGAACGCUGGCGGCAUGCCUAACACAUGCAAGUCGAACGAAGGCUUCGGCCUUAGUGGCGCACGGGUGCGUAACGCGUGGGAAUCUGCCCUUGGUUCGGAAUAACAGCUGGAAACGGCUGCUAAUACCGGAUGAUGACGAAAGUCCAAAGAUUUAUCGCCAGCGGAUGAGCCCGCGUUGGAUUAGGUAGUUGGUGGGGUAAAGGCCUACCAAGCCGACGAUCCAUAGCUGGUCUGAGAGGAUGAUCAGCCACACUGGGACUGAGACACGGCCCAGACUCCUACGGGACACAGGAGUGGGGAAUAUUGGACAAUGGGCGCAAACCUAACCCAGCAAUGCCGCGUGAGUGAUGAAGGCCCUAGGGUUGUAAAGCUCUUUUACCCGGGAAGAUAAUGACGGUACCGGGAGAAUAAGCCCCGGCUAACUCCGUG
rnacentral:rRNA from 1 species